rnacentral:rRNA from 1 species
GAUCCUGGCUCAGGAUGAACGCUGGCGGCGUGCCUAACACAUGCAGGUCGAGCGAAGCGCUUUGCUUAGAUUCUUCGGAUGAAGAGGAUUGUGACUGAGCGGCGGACGGGUGAGUAACGCGUGGGUAACCUGCCUCAUACAGGGGGGAUAACAGUUAGAAAUGACUGCUAAUACCGCAUAAGACCACAGCACCGCAUGGUGCGGGGGUAAAAACUCCGGUGGUAUGAGAUGGACCCGCG